GAGAGGAAGUGUUAGCUUACUCAGGCAUGGAUGUACUAUGUGUGUCAUUGAUGUAUGUUGAGUGUACCAAGGAUGGAUUCCAAUGUAUUAAGUGUGGAUAUGACUGGACUAUCGAAAUAGGGAUUUGAUUAGGAGGCAUAGGACGCAAGGUCAUGAUUGGGAUUAUUGCUAGAAUUGCAAACUGAUUAGAAAUGAUCUUAUGAUUUAAUAUGUAAGUGGCCUUUUCAAACUAAUCAAGAAGUGUUUCCCAAUCCCGAUACCUGAGCUAUUUACUUACAUAGUGCAGGUUUUAUAAGUCACUAAUGCUGUCAACGUGAGGGGAUGACAUGUUUACACAGUCAUGGCCCUCACUUAGAAUUUACCCAGAUGUGCUUUUUUUCUCAAUUAUGAGUUUUUGCCACUGGGAUUUUUGACCUGGCCCAAGUUCACUGGGUGGACUGGUAAUCCAAGACCCUGGUCCAAAGAGGGGAAAUAGAUUUUAUUCCCAUUUUUGAUUAUAUGUGUUUACGUUGUGAAUUAUAAUAAUAAUAUUCCUGUUGUUAGGAAUAAUACACUUUGCCUGUUUUGAUCCAAGGCUCAAGUUACAGAUAACAUGAUGUGCAGUAUGUUUAAAAUUGGUUAAGAUGUCAGCUGUUUGAAAUAUUUAACUUGUACACUUAAAAGAUGUGUACAACAGAUGAUUACAGAAGCUGAAAAUCGACAGCUCGAUCUCCUCUUAAAGGGAAAACCUACGGCAUAGAGCAAAUGGGGGAAAUCGAGGUGAAGAAAUAAGGAAAGUCCCGCAGACGUGAUUAGCACGUCUGAAUAUACCUCCUUUCGUUUCUCUGCCGCAGGCCUCCCAUGGAUAUUCCAUAAGGUAGAUCAUGAUAUGAUCUAAGAGGGGAAUUGUAGAUGCGAAUAUCCAUUUUGCUCUAUAUCCUAACUGUUCAUGUAAGGGUUAAUUUGAAUCAAGAAUAAAUUUGGAAUUGUAUCUCCAAUUCUCAGAAAUGUUAUUGAAACUUUGUUAUGUUCCUGGAAAAUGAUAUUUACAUGACAUGACAUGAUAAGGAUUCUGGAAUGACCUUGUUAAUUGUCCAAGAUUUCGGUAUUUGUAAUCAUCUGGGUUUUAUCCAAUAUGCAUACAUUAUGUAACAUCGAAUUAUAACUAAAAACAGCUGUUUAUAACUUGUGAAAAACAAUGUCAUUGUCACGCCCAUAUGCUCAUUUUUCCCCCUCCCAUCCUGCUAUGAAAAUGGGGUAUAAAUAUAACUGACGUAUGAAUACAAUUUGAAUUGGUUAUUGAACACGUCUCUGCUAUUCAUUUCCAAUUUCCAGAGCUCUGUAUGAGUUGGCAAAUAUCCAUCAUCCACAAAGGGCCAGGCUGAUUUU